CCUGACCUUGUGAUCUGCCUGCCUCGGCCUCCCAAAGUGCUGGGAUUACAGGCGUGAGCCACUGCGCCCGGCCUGUGUUGUUUCUUAAAAUGAAAAUAGAUAAAGUUUUUAAAGCAUUAUGGAGAAUUUAACCUUCCACUGGUCUGAUUAAACAGUAUACAAGUAGCAUCUGCAUCAGCCAUCUAUGCCAUUUUCUUUUUAUGAUUUCAAAGAAAUUAUUUAAGAAAUCUGCCAAUUUAGCUAGUACUUAAAACCUGAUGUCCACUACUAAAAAUGUUUUAUGGGUGGAUCAAAUAAUUUAUUUUAAUACUAGUCUUGAAUAGAAAAAUAUACUAAUAUACACUUUUUUCACAUUUGCUGUUUGUCUCUUCUUCCACCUCAAAACUCAUUUUUAACAUAGUUCAGAAAGUUACCUUAUAAUUGCUACAUAAGAACAUGAUGAUAUAUUUAACAGUUUGGAUUUUUCUCCAGGUAAAGAUCAGGUUUCCACUGAUGUUUAACAGGGCUUGUACUGUGCUUAGAAUACUUAGCUAUUCUGAAUUAUGAUUCAAGACUAAAAGGUAUAAACAGCCUUCACAUAAUGUACUUUGAACCUGAAUUAUAUUGUUGAUUAUUUUGACUUUAUAAAAAUUGCCAUUUUAGUAAGUCAUUCUGUAUUGUUAUUCAAUGGAAAUAAUGUAUUUGUAAACGUUCUGCCAUAGAGUCUUUGAAAAGAUUUCCAAUGCUGUGUGUAACUGAAGCUGGACCUGAAAUCAGUCUUUGCAGUGUCAUGAAACCAUAAAAAUGUGGAACUGAGAGAAAUGACUUUUUACUACUAUGAAAUUCUUCUGGAAAACUUGAAACAGCAAAUGGCAUGCAGAAGCACCUCCCGUGACUGUGGAAUAAAGUCCAUCUUGGGGCAAGUGAGAACAUUGAUUGCCUUUAUAGAGACUAAAAUGUUAACAGUGAAGAUUCAUGGAUGAACCUAGAUUUGAGAAGACACUAUCAAGAGAAUAAGAACAACAGACUGGGAGGAAGUAUUUGCUGAAGACAUACCUGAUAAAGGACUCACCCAAAAUAGACAAAGAGCUCUUAAAACUCAGCAUAAGAAAUGGAACAACCCAAUUAAAAACUGAGCAAAAGAUCUAAACAGACACCUCACCAAGAAGAUAUACAGAUGGUAAGUAAGCUCAUGAAAAGAUGGUCAGCAUCAUCUAUCAUUAGGGAAUUGCACAUUACAACAAUGAGAUAUGACUGCACAACCAUUUGAACAGCUAAAAUCCAAAACACCAACAGCACCAAUACUGGUGAGAAUGUGGAAUAACUGGAAAUAUCAUUUAUUUCCAGUGAAAAUGCAAAAAGGUACAGUCACUUUGGAAGACAAUUUGUCAAUAUCUUACAAAACAAAACAUACUCUUGCCAUAUGAUCAUGCUUUUUAGUAUUUAUUCAAAUAUAUUAAAACAUCUGUUCAGAACCCUGCAAUUAAAUGCAUACAGCAGCUUUACUCAUAAUUGGCUAACUUGUAGGCAAUCAAGAUGUCUUUCAGUAAGUGAAUGGAUAAACUGUGGUACAUUCAUACAAUGGGAUAUUACUCUAUUCUAUAGGAGGAGGAGUGGCAAAUACUGUAGGUAUCACAGCCAGACCCCUUGUAUGCCUUUACCAUUUUGAUGCACUCUGACUGCCUCUCAGGGUCACAUAGAGAGCCUGAGGUGUCUGGGAAAUCCCUAAAUAAAGAAGUUAUCAAGCCAUAAAAAGACAUGGAGAACUGAAAUCCUUAUUACUAAGUGAAGAAGCCAAUCUGAAAGGACUUUAUACUGUAUGAUUCUAACUAAAUUAUAUUCUGGAAAAGGCAUAUGUUUAGUGACAAUAAAAAGAUUAGUGGUUGACAAGAGUUUGGAGGAAGGGAGGAACGAAUAUGUAGAGCACAGAGGAUUUUUCGCGUGAAAGAACUCGGUAUGAUAUUAUGGGAGAUACAUGUCAUUACACGUUUGGCAAAACCUGUAGAAUGUACAAUACCAAAAGUGAACACUAUGUAAACUAUGUUCUUUGGGUCUUAAUAUGUAUCAGUCUUCAGCAACUGUAACAAAUGUACCACACAGGACACUGGCCCGGAAGGCUGUGGGUGUGUAUGGAAUAGGUAUAUAUGGGAGCUCUGUAUUUUGCUCAAUUUUGCUCUGAAUGUAAAAUUGCUCUUAAAACUUGUAUUUGAAAAAAUAUGAUGUUGCUAUUUCAGAUAGGGUGGUAUGGGUAAGUCUGGCUAAGAAAGUGCCAUUUGAGUCUUAUAAGAGGUGAAGUUUAGCUAUAUCUGAGGGAAGGGCAUUUUGGGUAAAACAGCUGAUGUUUAAGGAAAAAUGAGGCCUGUGUGACUGGAGUGAGGAAAAGCAAGUUGGUUAAGAGUAGAUCAUAAAGUCAGAGAGAUGGGGAAGAGAAAAGCAGAUCACGAGGCUUUGUGUGUCAUGCUAAGGAUUUUAGUUUUUAUCCUGAAUGAAGUGAAUAAAUGUAGCUCUGCCACUACUAGUUCUGUGACCUUAGGCAAGUUAUUUUUACCUCUCUGCUCCAAAUUUACUCAUAUCUAAAAUGGGGAUAAUAAGAAUACCUAACGAUUAGUGUUAGUAAUAUGAGCAUUAAAAGGAGUUAUAUGUAUAUAUAUAUAUAUAUAUGGCUAUUAGUAUUUGCAUCAUUAUUUUGAACAGGGGAAUGACAUUAUUUGAUUAGGUAUUUAAAAUGCUCCUAUUUGCUGUGUUGAACAUAUACAGAGGUAGUGAUGAGGAGUAGAGGUUAUUAGUGGCACAAGGGUGAAAGCAGGUAGACCAAUUAGAAGGCAAGGUCAAUAAUCAAACAAUAGCUUGGAUAAGAGUGAUUGCAGUAGAAAUGAUGAGAGGUAGAUUCUAGAUAUACCCUUAAAUUCGUAUUUUCUGAAAGAUUGUAUGGCAAGUGUGAGAAAAGGGGAGCGAAGGAUGAUUUUAAGGUUUUUAGCUUGAGUUCCUAGAAUUACAAGAAUCCCACGAACUGUAAAAAAAGUAGUUGCACAUAUCUAUGGGAUGCAUGCAGUUAUAUAAGGAUACAGUGUGUAAUGAUCACAUCUGGGCAAUUGAGGUGAUGUCCAUCACCUCAAACAUUUAUAGUUUCUUUGUGUUGGGAACAUUCCAAAUCUAGCUAUUUUGAAAUAUACAAUAAAUUGUUAACUAUGAUUGCCCUAUUGUGCUACCAAACACUGUAUCUUAUUUCUUCUAUCUAACCAUAUUUUUGUACCUAUUAACCAACCCCUCUUUAACCCCCACUCUCACUGCCCUACCAAGCCUCUGGUAACCACCAUUCUACUCACUGCCUUCAUGAGAUGAAUUUUUUUAGAUGCCACUUAUAAGUGAGAAGAUAUGUUUGUUUUUCGUGCCUGGCUUAUUUCAUAGUGUCCUCCAGUUCUAUCCACGUUGCUUCAAAUGACAGGAUAACCUUCUGUUUUCAUGGCUGAAUAAUACUUGGUUAUGUAUAUAUACCACAUUUUCUUUAACCGUUCAUCAGUUGAUGGACACUUAGGUUGAUUCCGUAUCUUGGCUAUUGUGAUUACUGCUAUAAUAAACAUGGAAGUAUGGAUAUUUCUUUAAUAUACUGAUUUCCUUUCUUUUGGAUAUGUACCUAGCAAAGAAAUUAUUGAACCAUAUGGUAGUUCACUGUUUAGUGUUUUGAGAAACCUCCAUAUUGUUUUCCAUAGUGGCUCUACUAAUUUACAUUCCCACCAACAGUGUAUGAGGAUUCUUAUUUCUCCACAUCCUUGGCAGCAUUUAUUAUUUUCUGUCUUUUUGAUAAUAGCUGUUUUAAUUGUGGUGAAAUGAUACCUCAUUGUGGUUUUGAUUUUUAUUUCUCUGGUGACUAGUGGAGCAUUUUUUCGUAUAUCUG